UGUAAAGUCAGCUAAUAAAGCUCUUGGGCUCAUGCCCCAAUCAUGUCGGUUAAACCCCACCCUUUACAA
rnacentral:tRNA from 1 species